rnacentral:rRNA from 1 species
CCCGGGCCUUGUACACACCGCCCGUCACACCACGAAAGCUGGUUGAACCAGAAGCCGGCGACCCAACCCGUAAGGGAGGGAGCCGUCCAAGGUCUGGCUAGUGAUUGGGGUG